GCCGGGUGCGGUGGUGCACACCUGUAAUCCCAGCAGCUCAGGAGGCUGAGACAGGAGGAUCACGAGUUCAAAGCCAGCCUCAGCAAUGGCAAGGCGCUAAGCAACUCAGUGAGAUCCUGUCUCUA
rnacentral:sRNA from 1 species